AGUAAGUGUUACGACUUGUUAUUUCCAUUUUGAAACUGGUAAGUGUUACGACUUGUUAUUUUCACUUAAUUGAAUUAUGACGCACAUUUCAGCUAUAGUGACCCGGUACACCUGACAAAUGAAUUAAACUCAAACGGUUUCAAGAUUCAAGCCAUUUCAAGAUGGUAGUGUUGCCCUGAUGUGCCUCUGCCAGGGGGAGAUAAAGAUGAACACCGCAGUUCAGCAGCGUGACUGAUCUUCAGGUGACUGAUCUUCAGGUGUACUAAUCUUCAGCAGCGUGACUGAUCUUCAUUUACAUUUACAUUUAGUCAUUUAGCAGGAGCAGAACCAGCAAACAAUCUUUAGGUGACUUAUCUUCAGCAGCGUGACUAAUCUUCAGGUGUACUAAUCUUCAGCAGCGUGACUAAUCUUCAGGUGUAGUGAUCUUCAGCAGUGUGACUAAUCUUCAGGUGACUGAUCUUCAGCAGCGUGACUAAUCUUCAGCAGCGUGACUAAUCUUCAGGUGUAUUGAUCUUCAGCAGUGUGACUGAUCUUCAGCAGCGUGACUUAUCUUCAGGUGUAUUGAUCUUCAGCAGUGUGACUAAUCUUUAGGUGACUUAUCUUCAGCAGCGUGACUAAUCUUCAGGUGUACUAAUCUUCAGCAGCGUGACUAAUCUUCAGGUGUAGUGAUCUUCAGCAGUGUGACUAAUCUUCAGGUGACUGAUCUUCAGCAGCGUGACUAAUCUUCAGCAGCGUGACUAAUCUUCAGCAGUGUGACUAAUCUUCAGGUGUAUUGAUCUUCAGCAGUGUGACUAAUCUUCAGCAGCGUGACUAAUCUUCAGCAGCG
ensembl:lncRNA